GCAAGGGCGAGCGUCGUUCUCAUUCUAGAGAGAGCUCAAUUUUCAAGGCAAAAUCCUCAGACCUGGGUGGCAGGCGACGAGCGCCAUCCCACCACUAGCCUGUGGUGGACCUCUGCAAGGAGUCGCAGCGACAAUGCUUAGACCCUGAGACAGGGUGAAGAAAAGGAUGCAGGUACGUCUCUUGGCUCGGCAUUUAGGACGUACCCUAGGAGGGGGCGGCCCUCAACGGGGAGACAGGAUGCUUCGCAGGCUUACAAGCGGAGGCUGCGGCCCGGGGGAAUCGGCGGCCAAAGCGCCGCAGGAGGUCGGAUCCGGUCCGGGUCCGGGUCGGCGGGGCGGGGCGGGGCAGGGCGGGAAUGCUGCGACCGGAGCCCCGGACGGAGGCCGUUCCCUUGCCCUCGGGCCGCCGGCUGCUUGGCUCCGGGCCCAGCCCCUCCCCCCGAUCCUGUUCCGAAGGCUUGGAGAGCCUGUGGCUGCGGGUGUGCUGUCAACAAAGCGUCACUUCCGGGCCGCCCCUUAGCAGCAGAGGAGGGGUUCUCUCGUCUUGUCCCGCCGCGAACGUGGGCGGAGGCGGCUGAAGGUUCCGGGUUCUCUGGGCUGCUCCUGCCCAAGCUGAGGCCCCAGUCUCCACGUUAGCUUCCAGGGUUCCUUCUAGCGAGGGGCUAACUCGCAGGAGCAGGUUCAGGACAGGAUUGACUCCAUCUUACCUAGUUAGUGCUGACUCACCCGGUGCCCAACCCGACGUCUUUUGGGCGGUCUCUAAGCAGCCACCACAUUGCCCCUCAAAAUGUGCUCCUCCUUCUUUCCUUCACGAAAAGGGCCAUUCACCCAGGAGCUGUCAGAUAGCAGGAGUGAGGCUGUUCUUGGCCACUGCGUUUUCUUCUAGUCACCAAGGAUCUCUUAACAGUUGUUUCUCUCUUCCUCCAAUAGUGCCCUACUGUCCAUCAUUUUAUCUUUCAAAAAUAUUAUUUUAAUUAUGUACAUAAGUGUAUAUGUGCUUAUGCACGUGACGGCAGCUGCCUGCUGAGGACAAUAGCCCCGGAGCCCAUGAAGCUGAAGUUACAGGUAGUUGUAAGCCCCACAAACGUAGGAACCGAACAAGCUCUCUGGUCUAUACUUCCUUUUCAUUUUAAGAUUUUUUUCCCAUUUAUUUAUAUGUGUGCAUGCAUAUGCACAUGUGCAGGAGAUCAGAGCACUGUUGGCUGGAGAGGGUUCUCUACACCAGCCACGUUGGUUUCAGGGAUCAAAUUCAGUCCUCACCAUGCUUGUACCAAGCACCCUUACAUGCUGGGCCAUCUCACUGGCCCCAUCACCAUUUCUUCUCUUGAUUUCUACCAUAGCCUCCGAACACAAAUCCCUUCGUUCCUUCUGCAGUCUCACAAUCAGGGCAUCCAGACUUUUCAUCUACCUUCUCUCCUUACCCAGUCCCUCAGUAAAUUGUUUCCUUCUGGUCUCCUGUCCAGAACGUUCACAGUUGAAAUCAGUGUGGGCUCUUUGCAUCUCUGUCAUUCUAAGCUCAAACAAUCAGGCAGUAGGCUUAAACAUUUUUCUUACUGCCCUCCACAUCUGGUAAACUAACAACACUUUUUGCUUAAGGAAUGCCCUGGAGUGAGGUUAGAGAGAAAGAAGGGAGGGGAUGUGGAGGCUCAAACCCAGGUCCUGUGGCAGACAGGAAUUCUAUCAUUGAGCGCGCGCACACACACACACAAAAUACUAUACAUACACCUUAAUCUUAGCACUCAGGAAGCAGAGAUAGGCAGAUUCCGUUAGUUUAAGCUAGUUCCAUGACAGCCAAAACUACACAAAAUAACCAUGUCUCUAAAACAAAAAACAAAACAAGAAAAGGAGAAAAAAUAAAAGAAAAGAGAAAGUAGAUACCUUAAGUAGGAAGGUAAAUAACUCAAAAUAGGUUCAGGAAGUCCCUGAAACUAACCAGAUUCACUAAGACCCUCCCUGCCAGAGAAAAGAAUAAAAAGUUGAGAGUUCUUAGUCAAGCUGAGCUGCAAAGAAGAUACUGAGACCAGACCAGCUACAUGUAAGAAGAGGAAACAAGCUGAGCUGCCUAUGAGAGAUUUAGACCACAGUCAGGUGGAAAGUACAUUUCCCAGUCUGUUUAGCUCUCUGCAGACUAUGCUCUGUGCUAUAGGUUUCCAGCUUUUCUGAACUGUCAUCUUCGCAGAGAUGUGCCUUGGUCAUGCCACUGUCUUUGAGUCAUUUCUGUUCCUGUAAGUAAUACCAAUAAAACUCACUAGCUCACC
rnacentral:lncRNA from 1 species